GACGAACGCUGGCGGCGUGCUUAACACAUGCAAGUCGAACGGUAAGGCCCCUUCGGGGGUACGCGAGUGGCGAACGGGUGAGUAACACGUGAGCAACCUGCCCUUGACUCUGGAAUAACAGUUGGAAACAGCUGCUAAUACUGGAUAUUCAUCGUCUCCUUCCUGGGGGGUGGUGGAAAGCUCCGGCGGUCAGGGAUGGGCUCGCGGCCUAUCAGCUUGUUGGUGAGGUAAUGGCUCACCAAGGCUUCGACGGGUAGCCGGCCUGAGAGGGCGACCGGCCACACUGGGACUGAGAUACGGCCCAGACUCCUACGGGAGGCAGCAGUGGGGAAUAUUGCACAAUGGGCGCAAGCCUGAUGCAGCAACGCCGCGUGCGGGAUGACGGCCUUCGGGUUGUAAACCGCUUUCAGUAGGGACGAAGGGUGACUGACGGUACCUACAGAAGAAGGACCGGCUAACUACGUG
rnacentral:rRNA from 1 species